UCAGUAUAGUUUUUUAAAGUAAAUAUUAAAUCACCCGAAAUUUGCGUUUUGUUUAUGCAUAUAAAUAAUACUGUUUUUGAGUAGUUUUUUACAAUUGUGCAAAAAAUAUAAAAUUUAAAAAAUACCUCAUGAUUCAUAAGUGAUAAUAAAUUAAAUGUUAGUAACCUUCAGAAAUAAUCGCUGGUACGUAGUUAAUAAAUUACCCUUUAGACCCAUCACCAGACACCAGUAUGAAAACUCUCGGACAAUAUGGACGAUGCAAGUUUGAAUUCAAGAGAUCUCGUCACCAGUGUCUUUUUAGUUAACGUGAAGUGGUUAUCUGGGAUGAAUUCAUUGAUCAAGUUAGACUGACAAAUUUAUUUAUACUAUGGUCAUCGACCGCGCUGCGUUAAGUGCGGUGGUGAUCACCUCACCUUCGAGUGCAGCAAAGACAGUUCCUGCCCAGCCAAAUGUGCCCUGUGUGGGGGCGACCAUACGGCGAAUUUCAAAGGAUGUCUGUCAUUUAAAACUCUCCGCAAAUAUCAAUCCAAUAUUCAUCGCAUACCACAAAAACCUAUAACCUCAUAUCCUUCUAAUACAAAUUCUAACCCUAAUCCUGCAGACUCUAAGCCCAAAUAUUACGUUCAUACCUUAUCUGGUUCCGAAAACAAAAGUAACAAUAUUUCCGUAAUCGAAACGUUGUUAUCAACAUUUUUUCUGAAUUUCACUGCAAUCAUUAAUCUACUUAUAUAUCCCUUCUUUCCACUGUCCUAAACAAAAUUAAUUUACCUUAGUCACAUCAGCGUUACGUCUUACUCAUACAUCAUUUUAUUUUUCAUUCCGUAUAAUACAUUAAUUAAUUAUUAUUAUCUAUUUUAUUACUUAUAUUCUUAUUUAUCAUUAUCUUAUCCAUAUAAUUUAUAUUAUAUAACUUUAUAUACUCUCUAUAUUACUAUGCUAAUGCAUUCUACAUUAUUUAGUACAUGUAUAUUAUUUGUAUCGUCUUAUCUUGCUUAUGUACAUAAUUGUCGAGCCGUAAUAGUUUUGUACUAAUGGUUAAUAAAAAUAAAAAAUAUACAC